UAUUGCACCAUCAAUGUUGUAUUAGCUUUUCAUCAUAAUCAAAAAACAUCUGAAUCCAGUAAACUAAAGGAAGAAAAAUUAAUUUUUGGCUCACUGUUUCAGAAGUUUUAGUCCAAGUUUGGUUGACUGCAUUGCCUUUGGGCCUGAGUUGGACCCAGGAUGAACCUCUGUACACCUGCUAUCUGAGCCAAAGUGGAGCCACGUCUGUCCAUUGAAGCCAAACUGCCAGGAGCUGUUGGAUUUAUACUGACAAGACAUCCUGCCCUCCAGUGACUGUAGUGCACUCAAGGAUUUGACCCUGUCCAGGCCACAUUCAUAGGAGAGAAAAUUCUUCUACUCUACCCGGCCUUGGACUAUACACCACUGUUGGUCAGGUGAGGGCUCAGAAUUGAUGAUGAAGUCAUAACAAAGAGAGUGAGUGCCUUGCAGUGGCAGUGCCAGGCCUACUGUGAGGGAAAGGCCUGCGUGGCACAGGAUGUGCAGAAGCAGGAGAAGGGAGUAC